UACGGGGGGGGCAAGCGUUGUUCGGAAUUACUGGGCGGAAAGGGCUCGUAGGUGGCCAACUAAGUCAGACGUGAAAUCCCUCGGCUUAACCGGGGAACUGCGUCUGAUACUGGAUGGCUUGAGUUCGGGAGAGGGAUGCGGAAUUCCAGGUGUAGCGGUGAAAUGCGUAGAUAUUCGGAAGAACACCAGUGGCGAAGGCGACACACUGGCCCGUUACUGACGCUGAGGCGCGAAAGCGUGGGGAGCAAACAGG
rnacentral:rRNA from 1 species